GACGAACGCUGGCGGCAUGCCUAAUACAUGCAAGUCGAGCGAACAGAUGAAGUGCUUGCACUUCUGACGUUAGCGGCGAACGGGUGAGUAACACGUAAGGAAUCUACCUAUAAGCGGGGGAUAACAUUCGGAAACGGGUGCUAAUACCGCAUAAUAUCUUCUUCCGCAUGGAAGAAGAUUGAAAGACGGCUCUGCUGUCACUUAUAGAUGACCUUGCGGUGCAUUAGUUAGUUGGUGGGGUAAUGGCCUACCAAGACGAUGAUGCCUAGCCGACCUGAGAGGGUGAUCGGCCACAUUGGGACUGAGACACGGCCCAAACUCCUACGGGAGGCAGCAGUAGGGAAUCUUCCGCAAUGGGCGAAAGCCUGACGGAGCAAUGCCGCGUGAGUGAAGAAGGCCUUCGGGUCGUAAAACUCUGUUAUAAGAGAAGAACAAAUUGUAGAGUAACUGCUACAGUCUUGACGGUAUCUUAUCAGAAAGCCACGGCUAACUGCGUGCCAGCCGCCGCUGUAA
rnacentral:rRNA from 1 species